ensembl:antisense Rab26os RAB26, member RAS oncogene family, opposite strand
GUGUGCGUGGUCCCUCUCGUCUAGGUUUUGUAAGGAACGUUUUGGGAGUAGUGCUCGCCGAAUGGAACUCAAAGGACCUCUGCUACAGAUCUGCCUUCCUCCCGAGCUGAAGUGCUUUAGUCCUAAGGGUUUAACCCUUCCCCAUUUUUCUUCUGACUCCAUUUUUGCAGGUAUGAACUGGUCGGGCCUGGCUUCCCUUUUCAGCCCCAAGCCCGUGAUGAAUUAAUUUCUGACACCUCGUAUGAAAACUGCAUGCGUAGUCUGAUUACAUUAUAAGACUGAGGCUUGGGCGCGACGUCACUAAUUGGAUGGGUUUUGAGUGAAAAGUUAACCAAAGUAAAGAUUUAUGUUGUUUGAUUUUUUUUUUUUUCAGGGCAUGUUGAGUCGGCUGCAUCUAGAGAUCCAACGAGUAGGAGUGUUGGCUGGUAAGCUGGGCAUCCGUGUAUCUGAGUUUCUUAGCAAUAAAGUGAAAUGCAAUCUU